rnacentral:rRNA from 1 species
AUACGUAGGGGGCGAGCGUUGUCCGGAAUGAUUGGGCGUAAAGGGCGCGUAGGCGGCCCGGUAAGUCUGGAGUGAAAGUCCUGUUUUUAAGAUGGGAAUUGCUUUGGAUACUGUCGGGCUUGAGUGCAGGAGAGGUAAGUGGAAUUCCCAGUGUAGCGGUGAAAUGCGUAGAGAUUGGGAGGAACACCAGUGGCGAAGGCGACUUACUGGACUGUAACUGACGCUGAGGCGCGAAAGUGUGGGGAGCAAGCAGGAUUAGAUACCCUGGUAGUCCACACUGUAAACGAUGAAUGCUAGGUGUAGGGGGUAUCGACCCCUUCCGUGCCGCAGUCAACACAAUAAGCAUUCCGCCUGGGGAGUACGGCCGCAAGGUUGAAACUCAAAGGAAUUGACGGG